GGGAAGGUUGCUCAGUGAUAGAGUGCUUGCCUUGCAUGCAUGAGGCCAUGGGUUCGAUUCCUCAGUACCA
rnacentral:tRNA from 1 species